rnacentral:tRNA from 1 species
ACGGCUGUGAUCUAGCGGUAUGAUUCGAGCUUCCCAAGCUUGCUACCCGGGUUCGAAAAUUGCGGCCCACAGUUCUCGCAAGAGAUCCCAAGCCCAGGAUGACGUUGUUAUCCUACUGUUCGAAAGUCCCGGCAGCCGUA